GACGAACGCUGGCGGCGUGCUUAACACAUGCAAGUCGAACGGAAAGGCCUCUUUCGGGGGGUACUCGAGUGGCGAACGGGUGAGUAACACGUGAGUAACCUGCCCUUGACUUUGGGAUAACUUCAGGAAACUGGGGCUAAUACCGGAUAGGAGCUCCUGCUGCAUGGUGGGGGUUGGAAAGUUUCGGCGGUUGGGGAUGGACUCGCGGCUUAUCAGCUUGUUGGUGGGGUAGUGGCUUACCAAGGCUUUGACGGGUAGCCGGCCUGAGAGGGUGACCGGCCACAUUGGGACUGAGAGACGGCCCAGACUCCGACGGGAGGCAGCAGUGGGGAAUAUUGCACAAUGGGUGGAAGCCUGAUGCAGCAACGCCGUGUGCGGGAGGACGGCCUUCGGGUUGUAAACCGCUUUCGCUCAUGACGAAGCUUUGUGUGACGGUAGUGGGUAAAGAAGCACCGGCUAACUACGUG
rnacentral:rRNA from 1 species